rnacentral:rRNA from 1 species
CUGAGCCAGGAUCAAACUCUAUACACGACCGUACCGCAAACCGACACUGGUGCGCGAGAUGAGUAUUCUAAGGCGCUUGAGAGAACUCAGGAGAAGGAACUCGGCAAAUUGACACCGUAACUUCGGAAGAAGGUGUGCCUUUAGUAGGUGAAGUCCCUCGCGGAUGGAGCCCAAUGAGGUUGCAAAAAAUCGGUGGCUGCGACUGUUUAUUAAAAACACAGCACUCUGCAAACACGAAAGUGGACGUAUAGGGUGUGACGCCUGCCCGGUGCUGGAAGAUUAAAUGAUGGGGUGCAAGCUCUUGAUUGAAGUCCCAGUAAACGGCGGCCGUAACAAUAACGGUCCUAAGGUAGCGAAAUUCCUUGUCGGGUAAGUUCCGACCUGCACGAAUGGCGUAACGAUGGCCACACUGUCUCCUCCUGAGACUCAGCGAAGUUGAAAUGUUUGUGAUGAUGCAAUCUCCCCGCGGAAAGACGGAAAGACCCCAUGAACCUUUACUGUAGCUUUGUAUUGGACUUUGAACAGAUCUGUGUAGGAUAGGUGGGAGGCUUUGAAGCAGGGUCGCUAGAUCUUGUGGAGCCAACGUUGAAAUACCACCCUGGUGUGUUUGAGGUUCUAACCUAGGCCCGUAAUCCGGGUUGGGGACAGUGCGUGGUAGGCAGUUUGACUGGGGCGGUCUCCUCCCAAAGUGUAACGGAGGAGUUCGAAGGUACGCUAGUUACGGUCGGACAUCGUGACGAUAGUGCAAUGGCAUAAGCGUGCUUAACUGCGAGACUGACAAGUCGAGCAGAUGCGAAAGCAGGACAUAGUGAUCCGGUGGUUCUGUAUGGAAGGGCCAUCGCUCAACGGAUAAAAGGUACUCUGGGGAUAACAGGCUGAUACCGCCCAAGAGUUCAUAUCGACGGCGGUGUUUGGCACCUCGAUGUCGGCUCAUCUCAUCCUGGGGCUGUAGCCGGUCCCAAGGGUAUGGCUGUUCGCCAUUUAAAGAGGUACGUGAGCUGGGUUUAAAACGUCGUGAGACAGUUUGGUCCCUAUCUUCCGUGGGCGCUGCAGAUUUGAGGAAGCCUGCUCCUAGUACGAGAGGACCGGAGUGGACGCACCUCUGGUGUAUCGGUUGUUACGCCAGUGGCAUUGCCGAGUAGCUAUGUGCGGAAGAGAUAACCGCUGAAAGCAUCUAAGCGGGAAACUCGUUUCAAGAUGAGAUCUGCCGGGGCCUUGAGCCCCCUGAAGAGUCGUUCAGGACCAGGACGUUGAUAGGUCGGGUGUGGAAGCGCAGUAAUGCGUUAAGCUAACCGAUACUAAUUGCUCGUGCGGCUUGACCCU